ensembl:lncRNA
AUAAGGGGUUCGAUUCCUUAAUGAAGCUAGCUUUUUUCUUUCAUAUUUGACUGGAUGUUUGCAUGCCAUUUUGCGUAACUUGUAGUUUAUGAUGAAGAAAUGUUACUGGGGUUAAGGUUAGGGUAACGCUAAGGGUAAGACACAAAGUGUUUUUGCAACACAAUAUUUCUUACAAUAACAAAGUCCAAAGUUUUGAUGACUCCAGUAGGAAACUUAAGAUACCUAGAGAAAUGCGUGAGUGCUCACAAAACAUCAACAAGUCAGCAGUGUGGUACAGGGUGAUCAUUUCUGAUAUACAGUACAAAAGCUGAAACAAUAGGGGAUUAUCACGCUUCCUGGUUCCGGUGGCGGGAUUUGUCUUCGUUGUGCAUGAACACUUCCGGCGCACUUCCACCAUGGCUGAAACAAAGGCGAGAUGUCACUGCUCUCUGUUCCACUUUGUACAUCUAACAAACACCAACCCUACUUAAGUUUUCAUGGAUUCCCGACUGAAAUGAGUCUAAGGAAGAAGUGGAUUCAAGCGGUUCGCCGGGAUGAAGGGCCAAACUUUAAAAUAAAACAAGUGGAACAACUGGGGACUGCCAAGAAGGGGGUCUGUUUAUAAAAGAGCAUCAACUCGCUUAGGCCUUGACGUUCACCCAUCCCUUCCUCUGGAGCAACCGCUGCCCUGUGAAUAAGAGCCGAUGGAGGAGAUCGCAGCUUCGGUGGUGAUGACAGAACAUGAUUUCGGUUCUGCUCCUAAACCAGGUUUAGCUGACUGAACGAAGUGGACUGCUGGAUUUACUGGAGCCAGGAGAUGGCUGCAUGGCAGACAAGGGUUUCACCAUCGAGAAGCCACUAGCUGAUCGUGGGGCAACGCUG